rnacentral:rRNA from 1 species
GACGAACGCUGGCGGCAUGCCUUACACAUGCAAGUCGAACGGCAGCACGGGAGCAAUCCUGGUGGCGAGUGGCGAACGGGUGAGUAAAGUAUCGGAACGUGCCCAGUCGUGGGGGAUAACGUAGCGAAAGUUACGCUAAUACCGCAUACGAUCUAUGGAUGAAAGCGGGGGAUCGCAAGACCUCGCGCGAUUGGAGCGUCCGAUAUAAGAUUAGGUAGUUGGGGGGUAAAGGCUCACCAAGCCGACGAUCUGUAGCUGGUCUGAGAGGACGACCAGCCACACUGGGACUGAGACACGGCCCAGACUCCUACGGGAGGCAGCAGUGGGGAAUUUUGGACAAUGGGCGAAAGCCUGAUCCAGCCAUGCCGCGUGCAGGAUGAAGGCCUUCGGGUUGUAAACUGCUUUUGUACGGAACGAAAAGGUUUGGCCUAAUAAGCUGAGCUCAUGACGGUACCGUAAGAAUAAGCACCGGCUAACUACGUGCCAGCCGCCGCCGUAAUAC